rnacentral:rRNA from 1 species
GACGAACGCUGGCGGCGUGCUUAACACAUGCAAGUCGAACGGAAAGGCCCUAGCUUGCUGGGGUACUCGAGUGGCGAACGGGUGAGUAACACGUGGGUGAUCUGCCUUGCACCCUGGGAUAAGCUUGGGAAACUGGGUCUAAUACCGGAUAGGAACCGUCUUUAGUGUGGUGGUUGGAAAGUUUUUCGGUGCAAGAUGAGCUCGCGGCCUAUCAGCUUGUUGGUGGGGUAAUGGCCUACCAAGGCGUCGACGGGUAGCCGGCCUGAGAGGGUGUACGGCCACAUUGGGACUGAGAUACGGCCCAG